rnacentral:lncRNA from 1 species
ACCACAUUUUGUCAACAAAUUAUUUUUUGAUACACGUGUUGUUUUCCUCACAAAAUGUUUUCAAAUUAAUGUUUUAUGCGUUCAAAACAUGAAGUGAAGACUAGUUAAUUUGUAAUGGAUCGUACAGCGUUUUUUAAAGCCUGUGUAAAAGCAAUUCGUACGCGAAAUCAAGCAGUGAAGUCAUCAAAUUUAACCUCCAAAGACACUUCAAAUAUUCUGGGAAGAAAUCGUUCCAAAGUGACGACAGAAUUUGGUUUAAAAGCUUCUGAAGUUGUGAGUAGAUGUAUGUUGUAGUUAGUUUAAUUUUAAACAAGUUUUUAUGUGGCUGGUCUAACCACAGGUGCACCCAGGGAUAGAUGCAGGGGGGGG